UACGGAGGGUGCGAGCGUUGUCCGGAAUCACUGGGCGUAAAGGGCGCGUAGGCGGCCUGAUAAGUAGGGGGUGAAAUCCUGCGGCUUAACCGCAGGGCUGCCUUCUAAACUGUCAGGCUCGAGCACAGUAGAGGCAGGUGGAAUUCCCGGUGUAGCGGUGGAAUGCGUAGAGAUCGGGAAGACCACCAAUGGCGAAGGCACUCUACUGGGCCAUUACUGACACUGAGAGACGAAAGCUAGGGGAGCAAAUGGG
rnacentral:rRNA from 1 species